UAUGGUAAUGGUCAGCCGCCGCGGUAAUACGUAUGGUGCAAGCGUUAUCCGGAUUUACUGGGUGUAAAGGGAGCGUAGACGGAGUGGCAAGUCUGAUGUGAAAACCCGGGGCUCAACCCCGGGACUGCAUUGGAAACUGUCAAUCUAGAGUACCGGAGAGGUAAGCGGAAUUCCUAGUGUAGCGGUGAAAUGCGUAGAUAUUAGGAGGAACACCAGUGGCGAAGGCGGCUUACUGGACGGUAACUGACGUUGAGGCUCGAAAGCGUGGGGAGCAAACAGG
rnacentral:rRNA from 1 species